UACAGAGGGGGCAAGCGUUAUUCGGAAUUAUUGGGCGUAAAGGGCGCGUAGGCGGCCUGGCAAGUGGAAGGUGAAAUCCCUCGGCUUAACCGAGGAACUGCCUCCCAAACUGCUUGGCUCGAGACCGGGAGAGGUGAGUGGAAUUCCCAGUGUAGCGGUGAAAUGCGUAGAUAUUGGGAGGAACACCAGUGGCGAAGGCGGCUCACUGGACCGACAUUGACGCUGAGGAGCGAAAGCUGGGGGAGCAAACGGG
rnacentral:rRNA from 1 species